CUCUCACGUCAGCCAGACUGAAAGGCAGCGUGUUCUCAUGGCUCCCAGAUGGAUCCUGCAGGUCUGGGUAUCCCAGCUAUGCUCAAGGCAGAAAGACACACAAAGGAAUACCUCAUCUGCACCUGUCCAGUUCAACAGGAAAACUGAAACUUCCCAUGUACUUACUAGCAGACCGUCUCUCAAGUCUUCUUAUCUCGGGCUGAAAGCCAUGGAAACUUCAACUCCUCAAGGACACUGGAAGUUAUGUGUGGAUACCCUGACCAGAAAUGAGGUGCUGGGUACAUACAGAGUCACCACUGAGAGGGCUAGGACAUUGCAACUUACACAGAACUGGGACUCUGGAUGUGAGAGCCGGGCAGAUGGAAGACACCUGCGUUGUGGCCGACUAAGAUUCUCACUACUCAGGAGCAAAAAUGGGAGUAGCCCAAUUCAGUAUAAUGGAAUCAGAUUGCUCAUGCAUGGAUGAUCCAUAAUGGCGAAAUACAAGUUUUCACAACAGAAGAGUGGUGUGACUGUAUGGUGAUGAUGAUGAUGAUUUUGAAUUUGGCGAUGUAAACUAAAGUUCCUGUGACAGUGAAAUGGAGCAAGAAUUGACUGAUACAGACACAGGGAAUGCAGACCUCCUUGAUCAGAUGAUGAAGAAUACAGCAAUGUGAGUGCAUAUUUGACUAGUUGAAAUGUUGCAAAAUGGCCAUGCAACUAAAUGGAACAGUGUAAUGUUAAAACUAGGUCCAAAAUAUAGUAAGGAUCUUGGCAGGGAUGAAACCUGUUGGACAGAAUGCCAGCACUGCCACUUGGUGUUUGCAAUCAUAACAGAUGAAAUGCUACAAAAUAUUGUGAAAUACACAAAGGCUGUAAUACAAGUAAAAUGUUCCAUAUGCACCAGUAGCCAUAUUAAAAAAGUUUUUAUUAUGACACCUCACUAGCUGAAUUGAAAGCAUUCAUAAGGCUACUGUAUUUAGCAAGGAUUUCUCAUAGUAAUUGCAAGAAUGUAAAACUUAUGGAAAACUGAUGGGUCAAAAUAUGGCAUAAAAAUUUAUGCCCUUGUAGAUGCAAAGACUUAUUAUGCUUUCAAUUUAGACAUUUAUCAUGGAACUCAGCCAUCAGGUCCUUAUUUGUAUAGUAGUAAACCAAAUGAUGUUGUGAACAGACUUGUUGUUCCCAUGUCCCAAACUAAUCAGAAUAUGACAUGUGACAAUUGCCUUGGCAGUUUUCAAUUGAUGUUACAUUUGCUAACAGAGUACAAGUUGACCAGUACAGGAACUGUACACAGGAG